rnacentral:rRNA from 1 species
UACGUAGGGGGCUAGCGUUGUCCGGAAUCACUGGGCGUAAAGCGCACGUAGGCGGAUCUUUAAGUCAGGGGUGAAAUCCCGAGGCUCAACCUCGGAACUGCCUUUGAUACUGGGGAUCUCGAGUCCGGGAGAGGUGAGUGGAACUGCGAGUGUAGAGGUGAAAUUCGUAGAUAUUCGCAAGAACACCAGUGGCGAAGGCGGCUCACUGGCCCGGAACUGACGCUGAGGUGCGAAAGCGUGGGGAGCAAACAGG